ensembl:lncRNA novel transcript
AGCGGCGCCGGGCUCCCGAACACCCGCCGGCCAUGAGCCUUUUUGAAAUAAUAAUAUUGUCGACCCCCAGUUGUAUGUGCCCAAGGAGAUGGCAAACUUGAGAAACAAGAAUAAUCCUUUCAGCUGGUUUAAAGCUGAGCCCUCACUCUUGGAAUUAAGAAACUGACAAAGGAUGCAAGUUCUUGGUUUAAGGAGCCAAUGGUGUGGUUCCCAGGGACCCUCCCAAAUACACUUCCAAUCUGUUUCUGGAGGACCUGACCUGUAACUCCUGACAAUAUGUUCUGAAUGCUGAAGGAUGGAGAUACACUUUGGAGUAAGAUUCAUAUGAACUUUCAUAAAUUCUUGGGCCAAUGGACUCAAGCCCCUCAUUCAAAGAAAACACCAGAAGAGACUUGGUGUUUUGUGAAAUGGCACAUUCCAAAAUCUCUGUCACUGAGAAAAGGAUGUAAGCUCAGGAUCAAAGCAUCGUCUUCAAAGAAGGCUACCAUAUGCACAUGUUAAGAGGCUCAAACUUGGCCAGGCACAGUGGCUCACGCCUGUAAUCCCAGCACUUUGGGAGGCCGAGGCGGGUGGAUCACGACGUCGGGAGUUCAAGACCAGCCUGGCCAAGAUGGUGAAACCCCAUCUCUACUAAAAACCCCAAAAAAUUAGCUGGGUGUGGUGGUGGGCACCUGCAAUCCCAGCUACUCGGGAGGCUGAAGCAGAGAAUUGCUUGAACUCAGGAGGCGGACGUUGCAGUGAGCUGAGAUCGUGCCACUGCACUCCAGCCUGGGCGACAGAGCGAGACUACAUCUCAAAAAUAAUAAUAAUAAAAAAAAAGAAAGAGGCUCAAACUUGUCUUUUAAAAAGUGAAGUGCCUUGCCUUGUCCUACACCGUGGCCUCUCCUUGGACACAAACAGGCAGGGAGUGUUUAAGAUAACAGCAUUGCAGAGUGCAAACGGCCCCCAAAGUGGAGCCAGAGGAACCUAUGAGAUCAUUUGGAAAAGCUUGUGAAUUCACUGCCAUUUGCCUACUUGGCUUCGGAUGAAAAGCAAAUCUUAAAGCUGCUCAAAAUGUGUCUGAUUCAUCUGUAACUGAGAAUGAGACCAAUCAGGGAUAAGAAGUGAGUAAAAUCCUUGUGAUCACAGAGCCAAGAGAGCCUAUUUUAAAGCACUUAAUGUAUUUUUUUUCUUAAAGAUAUAUACACCAACUGUAAUUAAGCUCUCCCUUUCCUUAUGAUCUUGGCAAGAUGUUAAAAAAGAGAUAGAGGGAGGGAGUCGACUUGCCAAGUGGAUUUUUCUAAGCGUUCUCAGCCCUAAUUAAAAGUCCUUUGUGCAAGGCCAACCAGCAAUCAGAUUCCUAAUUAGAGUUGAGCAAACUGCCUUGGUGAACUGUGGGUUUCUCUGAACCCGGGAAUCUGAGGAAAAAGUCUGUCUGUCUCAAAGGUGCCAUUUUCUGAAGCACAAACACACCCAAAUCCUAAAAGGCAUGUCUCACAAGGGCAAUGUCACAACCUUAAUACUGUUGGUCGAUUACUGUUUUUGCCUUGAAACGGCUCCGCAGCAUCCUAUAUAUUGCGUUGUUACGUCUGUUUUGCUGUUUGUUACGGUAUUAUGAUGAAAUGGCGCCUUAUUAAAAACCUGUCUUCAGGAUCUGGAAUUCUGGGACUUGAGAUUUAAGUGUAUUAAAUGCCAGGAAUUCAUGGUUUAUGUCCAGAAAAAGAAGACCAUUCUGCCAUUAACUGGAUUUCCCCUGGAGUCUUGGGAAUCAUAAUAGUGUGUACACAAGUGCUUACCACAUGCGAACACAGCUCUAAGAACUCUAUAAAUACGAAUGCAUUCACCUCUCACGAGGAUGCCAUGAGGCAGGCUCUAUUAUCUCCCCUGUUUCACAGGGAGGAAACUGAGGCAAAGAGAAGUUAAGGCGGUAUCUCAAAGUCACAUUAGAAAGUGAUAAAGCCAAGAUUGACCUGCAGUCAGUCACAUUCCAGAGCCUCUGCUCUUACCUCCCAGCACUGGAGCCAUGGCGUUGGACCCCCGGUCCCCGGGCCUCAUGCCCCGGUCCCCAAGCCUCAUGCCCCGGGUCAGAGCAUCCACACAGCAGUGCAGCUGGGAGCAUGGCUCCAUCUCCUAUGUAGCCCCUGGAUUUCUUCCUGAUUACUAGGUAGGGUUUUCCAAGAUCCACAUUUCAAAUUGAGAACUUCUGAAAUGUAGGCCUUCA